UACAGAGGUCUCGAGCGUUAGUCGGAUUCAUUGGGCUUAAAGCGUGCGUAGGCGGAUGUGCAGGCGUCGUGUGAAAGCCCUCGGCUCAACCGGGGAAUUGCACGGCGAACCGCAUGUCUUGAGACAAGUAGGGGCGGUCGGAACGAUAGGUGGAGUGGUGAAAUGCGUUGAUAUCUAUCGGAACGCCAAAGGUGAAGACAGACCGCUGGGCUUGUUCUGACGCUGAGGAGCGAAAGCGUGGGUAGCAAACAGG
rnacentral:rRNA from 1 species